GUGAAGCGGCAAAAGCUCAAAUUUGAAAUCUGGCACCUUCGGUGUCCGAGUUGUAAUUUGAAGAAGGUAACUUUGGAGUUGGCUCUUGUCUAUGUUCCUUGGAACAGGACGUCACAGAGGGUGAGAAUCCCGUGCGAUGAGAUGCCCAAUUCUAUGUAAAGUGCUUUCGAAGAGUCGAGUUGUUUGGGAAUGCAGCUCUAAGUGGGUGGUAAAUUCCAUCUAAAGCUAAAUAUUGGCGAGAGACCGAUAGCGAACAAGUACAGUGAUGGAAAGAUGAAAAGAACUUUGAAAAGAGAGUGAAAAAGUACGUGAAAUUGUUGAAAGGGAAGGGCUUGAGAUCAGACUUGGUAUUUUGCGAUCCUUUCCUUCUUGGUUGGGUUCCUCGCAGCUUACUGGGCCAGCAUCGGUUUGGAUGGUAGGAUAAUGACUAAGGAAUGUGGCUCUACUUCGGUGGAGUGUUAUAGCCUUGGUUGAUACUGCCUGUCUAGACCGAGGACUGCGUCUUUGACUAGGAUGCUGGCAUAAUGAUCUUAAGCCACCCGUCU
rnacentral:rRNA from 1 species